AUGAACAUCUGAUCUCAAUCAGGAAGUAAAGCACCGAGCUCGGCCGACUCGCCUCCGUGUUGUCAAUUUAGUUUCUUCAUGUUUGUUGCCUCAUUUAUAGCUUCUCAUUUUGAACAUUCGCCUUUUUAAUCAGACUUGGAGGUCUCCUUCACAGCAGGGACAUGGCCGAAGGUGCCGAGGCUGACAUUGAGGAGCCGCCUCGUUGUCAUGUGCCUCCUGUCAUUACAGUCUCAGGACUGCCCAGUGCCACUGCAGCAGGUCAAAACCUGAAAGAAUGGCUGCUGGAGCAGUUCUGUGACAAACCUCUGGAGCAGGAUGACAUGCGACUUCACAAUGCAGCCUACGUGGGCGAUCUGGACACACUGAGGAACCUACUACAGGAAGAGAGCUUCAUAGCACGGAUCAAUGAGAAAUCGGUUUGGUGCUGUGGAUGUCUGCCCUGCACUCCCCUAAGGAUUGCAGCCACAGCCGGACAGGUCGCCUGUGUGGCUUACCUUAUUGCUCAAGGGGCUGAGGUGGACCUCGUGGAUGUCAAAGGCCAAACGGCGUUGUACGUCGCUGUGGUCAACGGUCACCUGGACUGCGUGCGUGUCCUCCUCGAGGCCGGAGCCAACCCCAACGGGAGCCGUCACCACCGCAGCACACCGCUCUACCAUGCUGUACGUGUCGGUCGACUGGAUGUGAUUCAGGAACUCAUCCGGUUCAAUGCUGAUGUUGACAUGGAUUAUCAGCUGGGUCCCCGUCUUCCCUUAUGUGCUCGGACCCUCAACACUUUAGUGGUGUGUCCUCUCUACAUCAGCGCCGCUUACCACCACCUGCACUGCUUCCGGGCUCUGCUGGAAGCUGGUGCUCAGCCUGACUUCAACUACUCAGGGCCCGUGUGCCACGAUGCUUUGACUCGCGGCCUGGCUUCCUGCCUCCUGGAUGCCGUACUUCGACACGGAUGUGAGGUGACCUUCGUCCAGCUGCUGCUAGACCACGGGGCCAACCCAAGCUAUGUGCCCUGGGAUGAUGCUGAGCUGGAGGCUCCCAUCCGAAGAAAGGUGGAUCCCGAAGCCCUCAAGCUCUUCCUGGAAGCAAGAAAAUGUCCCAGCAGGUUGACCCACCUGUGUCGCAUCAGGAUACGCAGAGUCCUAGGGAAAAAACGUCUGGAGCAUAUACCAUCACUGCCACUUCCUCAACCCAUCCACAACUUCCUGUUUCAUCACAACUAACAGUCUUCGUUACAACCACAGCGGUGUGGCUCUGUGGACGUCUUUUAUUUAAAAUUGAACACUUUUGUUUUGUCAAAUACCGUGUGUUCGGGAGCCAAAGUACGGCCCCAGCCACCUAGAGAGCCCAACCCAAAACAGCAGGUGGGGGGCCCACAAUACCCAGCAAUAUGUUUGGAGAAGAAAAGGUCUCUAGAUGGCACUAUCCUCCCUUCAAGUGCUCACACAUCUGCCUUCCUUUGUCUGGUCUGCAUUCUCUCUACCCAUCAUUCUGCUCGAGGGUCUCCGACAUCUGUCGUCCAGGAAGUAUUUAGCAAGCACAAUCACAAGCAGAAUAAGCAAAGCUGCACGAGUGCUGAGCGAAUGAUUAAUUACUCCAUUGGAAGGCAGGCGAUGCACCUUAUUAUCCCGCUUACUGUGUGUGGAGAAGGUCAUCUCAGUUAGACAAUUGCUGCUCACUCAAAAGGCCUUUUUUUCUACUGCAGGAAACUAUACAGGAACUUUUCCAUUUACCCAGGUCAAUAAAGUUCCCCCUGCCAUGGGUUUCCACCAAAAACUACUAUUUUUAGUUCCUAGUAGCGAGGAUGGACUUUCGGAAGUUCCCAGGAUCCUUAGAGAAGCGGGCUGUGCUGUCGAAGGCUGAAUGGUUGAACACAGUGUUUCUAAAACUUUGUAUUCCAAAUUGUCAGCCGCCAUUACAGUAUGCUUGUUUAUUUCUCAUUUCUUGUGUAUUUCCACAACAUGCUUGACAACGGAGAGAAAGAAAAACAAAGGGAACUUUCGACUUGCAGGAACUUUUAUGUAGCGUCUUUGUCCUGAAGUACGCUGAUUAGUGGAAUUAUCCUGCAGUGUUUUUACUCAGCUGUGGUGUUUGAACGAGUAUGCAGUUUCAAGUUGUUUAUGCUUUUUUUUCUUUUUUACAAAACUAGCAAAGGUAGAAAAACUUUUUUUUUUUUUAAAAUCCUGAACAGGACAAGCGGUACAAAAUAGAUGGAUGGACAGGUUUUUACAAACAUAAAAAUGACAGGAGUAUACACAAAUACAUAAAAUGCUGUUUUUUUUCAAAUAAAAUAAACAAAACUACAUAUACAGUCGUGGUCAAAAGUGUACAUACACUUGUAAAGAACAUAAUGUCAUGGCUGUCUUUGAGUUUCCAAUCAUUUUUAGAACUCUUAUUUUUUGUGAUAGAGUGAUUGGAGCACACACUUUUUGGUCAUAAAAACAAAAAAAAUCAUGAAGUUUGGUUCUUUUAUGAAUUUUAUUAUGACUUGACUGAAAAUGUGACCAAAUUUGCUGGGUCAAAAGUAUACAUACAGCCAUUUUUAUAUUUGUUUACAUGUCCCUUGGUGAGUUUCACUGCAAUAAGGCGCUUUUGGUAGCCACACUGUGGACAAAAGCUUGAAUUGGUCUGUAAAAUAUUUGUGUCUUAGGUUCUAGAUCAGUGAUGUCAAACUGAUCCGGCAUGCGAACAGGUUUUAUUUGGCCUGCAAGAUACAUUUGCUAAGUAUAAUAAUAAGUUCAAUUAUUUCAACAAAGUAAAAUGCUGUUCUAAAUGUGUCCACCGGAUGUCGCAAUAGCAAUCUUGUUAGGCAAGCAAACGGGGGGCUAAGUAUGAGGUCCACAGUAAAGCGUGACUACGGCUCCUCCCCUUUUACUCAAAUGAAACGUAAAAUCUGUCGUUUUAUAUCUUCCACUUCGAACACAUCGCACUUUGGCAAUGUCAUUGCCCCAAUAUGUCUCUAUCAAAAAAAAAAAGAAAAGAAAAUGGGAGUAACUCAACCCUCUUGAAUAGUUUUUCCCUUCAUUUGUAUGGUUUGUUGAGUUAGCACAGCAUUAACUAGACUAAAUAUAUAGAAAAUAUAUGAUAAUGUUGAACUUGAACAUAACUUGGCCUUAAAGAAAUGAACUAUUAAUUAAAAAAUUGCAAGAAGAAGUUAUUAGGGAUAAGAAGAUUCUCGGGAAGUUAUGUGAUGAACAGGAGGGGAAUGUUAAAUAAUUAUGUAUAUAUUAUCAUACAACUCUUAUGCUUAAGGACCGUUGCUAUAGUUAUUAUCAAUUGUGCUGAAGUGGCAUUUUUCUUUGUCUGUGCAAAGCCGGCAAUCCAAAAGAUUGCAAGCCAGUCUCGUAUCAGUGUCUAUGUUCAGGAAAGGCCUGCUCACUGCCAUGGCCGAACACCGCCGUGACGCAGACAGAGCAAAGACAAGGCGAUAUCACCAGUGUCAACACAUUUGCAUUUCUUGUAUAAUCAUAUAUUGUGUCUAACUGGAGCUGUCAAGAUUACCCCCUUCCCUCAGCGACAGCUUCAGUGAUGUAACCAGGGACUUCCCAAAUAAAUAGAGGAAGCACGUGGGCUGGACUUUUAGAACGUAGCUAGAGUACAGCCAAAAAAAACGUGUCUCCUCAAUUGAGCCAAAUUGAA